rnacentral:rRNA from 1 species
GACGAACGCUGGCGGCGUGCCUAAUACAUGCAAGUUGAGCGAUGAAGAUUGGUGCUUGCCCCAAUUUGAAGAGCAGCGAACGGGUGAGUAACGCGUGGGGAAUCUGCCUUUGAGCGGGGGACAACAUUUGGAAACGAAUGCUAAUACCGCAUAAUAACUUUAAACAUAAGUUUUAAGUUUGAAAGAUGCAAUUGCAUCACUCAAAGAUGAUCCCGCGUUGUAUUAGCUAGUUGGUGAGGUAAAGGCUCACCAAGGCGAUGAUACAUAGCCGACCUGAGAGGGUGAUCGGCCACAGUGGGACUGAGACACGGCCCAAACUCCUAAGGGAGGCAGCAGUAGGGAAUCUUCGGCAAUGGACGAAAGUCUGACCGAGCAACGCCGCGUGAGUGAAGAAGGUUGUCGGAUCGUAAAACUCUGUUGGUAGAGAAGAACGUUGGUGAGAGUGGAAAGCUCAUCAAGUGACGGUAACUACACAGAAAGGGACGGCUAACUACGUG